UACGUAGGGUGCGAGCGUUUGUCCGGAAUUAUUGGGCGUAAAGGGCUCGUAGGCGGUUUGUCACGUCAGGAGUGAAAACUCGGGGCUCAACCCCGAGCCUGCUUCUGAUACGGGCAGACUGGAGGUAUGCAGGGGAGAACGGAAUUCCUGGUGUAGCGGUGAAAUGCGCAGAUAUCAGGAGGAACACCGGUGGCGAAGGCGGUUCUCUGGGCAUUACCUGACGCUGAGGAGCGAAAGCGUGGGGAGCAAACAGG
rnacentral:rRNA from 1 species